AUCCAAAAUUGAGACACCACCACCACCAUUUCUUCCUUUAUCCAGCACGGCAGCGCAUCGAGCUCGACCAUUGCUUAGCGCCGCUGAGCUCCCCGCCGACAAUCCUGUGAGAGGCUUGUGUCGAAGAACGCCGAAAAGAAGUUCAAAAGGAGAACUCUCGACCUCUGCCUCGAUUACUCUCUCCCUCUCUCGAUUACUCUCUCUCUCUAUUAUCUUCUCACUCACAGUUUUCUCUCAUUGGUGAAUCCAACUCAGGAUGGAAUCCGAAGAUUCUCAUACUCUCAGUGACCUCAGUCUGCCUAUUUCAGAAUCACCAAAUACUUCAACAAAUGAUGAUGGUUCUAGUCGAAAACGAUUAAUAGAAGUAGAAGGUGCAGCAGACAAACCUCCUCUACCUCCUCCAAAAAGAAGCAAAAGUCCAUAUUGGGAGCAUUGCAAAAAAGAGACAAAGGAUAUGAGUAGCGGCAAGAUACAAAUAGGGGUAUGUAAUUACUGCAAAACUGAAAUACCAGCUAUUCGUGGGAGUACUAGUGGCUUGAAAAAUCAUUUAGUCAACAGGUGCAAGUUAAGUCCAUUGUUGAUGUGAGUAGUGAGAAAGGUCAAAUGGUGUUGAUGAAAGAGACAAUGCAACAAGGAAGUCGCAUCGUUCCUCACUCUUUUAGUCAGAAAAGGUGUGAACUGAAGAUGACUCAAUAUGUGAUCAAAGAUGAAGUGUGUUUUCGAGCUGUUGAGAAGCCUGGAUUUGUUGCUCUUGUGAAUGAGUUUGAACCGAGAUUUCAAAUGCCCAAUUGAAAGAAAGUGGCGGGUAUGGUUUAUACGCUGUUUUUAGAUUAGAAGAAAAAAAUUCAAAAUGUUCUUAAUGGACAAAGAGUCAGUAUUACUACUGACACAUGGACAUCUGUGCAGAAUAUAAAUUAUAUGGUUGUCACAGCAUAUUUUUUGGAUAAUGAUUGGAAGUUGCAUAAGAGAAUAAUCAACUUCACUAAAAUCACAAGCCAUGUAGGGGAAGAAAUUGGAAAGUUGAUUGAGAUUUGUUUGAGGGAAUGGGGAAUAGAAAAAUUGUUUUCAAUCGUAGUUGAUAAUGCAUCUUCUAAUGAUACUGCGAUUGAAUACUUGAAAAGGAGAAUGAGAAUUGAUAAAACUUUGAUGUUCGAUGGGAAGUAUUUGCAUUUAAGAUGUGCUUGCCAUAUACUUAACUUGAUUGUUAAAUAUGGUUUGAAAGAGCUCAAAUCUUCAAUUAAGCCUAUAAGGAAUGUAGUUUUGUUUCUUCAUUCUUCACCUGGAAGAUUGAACAAAUUUAGGGAGCUUGCUAUACUAAUUAAGUUUUCUAGUACAUCAACAGUGCCCAUGGAUGUGAAAACUAGGUGGAAUUCUACCUAUAAAAUGCUUGAUAUUGCAUUAAAGUAUAGAAUUGUGUUUGAGAGAAUGGCUGAAGAAUGUGUUCCUUUCAUAAAAUACUUUCGUGAGAAUGAUGAAAAGGGUAGGGCAAAGAUGCUUCCAAGUGCAGAAGAUUGGGAUAAUGCAAAAGCUUUUGUACACUUUCUCAAAAAUUUCUAUGAUCUGACUUUACAGUUAAGUGCUUCAAAAACUCCUACGUCCCAUUUGAUUUCACUUUCGAUGUUUGCUUUACAAAUUGAGAUUGAGAAAAAGUGUACUGAUUCGGAUUUGACUCUCUCAGAUGUUGCAAAAGCAAUGAAACUGAAAUUGACAAAUAUUAGGGGGAUUGGAGUACAAUGAAUCCACUUAUUUUUAUUGCUAAUGUGUUGGAUCCGAGGAACAAACUACAAAUGCUUAAAGUUAGUGUAAAAAAACUGAAAGUCGGGAGCUUAACAAAUGUUGAUCAAGUUCAACAGAUUCAACACUUGUGUUGAAUCAGACGCCACUUCUAGAAUGCGAGGAUGUUGGAGACAGCAGUAACAAAGGUGAUUUGCAUCUUUUUGAUGAAUUGUACGAUGGGGUGCAGGAGGAAAUUGAACAAGACCAACUGAAUCAAAUAUCAAAUGAAGUGGAUAAGUACAUAGCUGGUGAGAUGGAGAAGAGGUCUAAUCCUAAUUUUGAUCUUUUGGAAUGGUGGAAAUUAAAUGCAUCUAGGUAUCCAAUCCUUUCACUAAUUGCGAAGGAUAUCUUUGCAAUUCCAAGCUCAAUGGUCGCAAGUGAGUUGGCUUUUAGCUUAGGUAAAAGGGUUGUGAAUCCUUUUAGAACGUGUUUGAGUCCAAAAAUGGUGGAGGCAUUGGUGUGCACUAAUGAUUGGCUUAGAGCUGAAAAUUUUAGCUUAUAUAAGGAUCCUACUGAUGAUGACCUUCAAUUUUAUAGAGAAAUUGAAGAAAUUGAAAAGAAUCCAAACAUGAGCCAAUAUGCUUUUAAAGCAAUACCUCCUACUUGAGCUAAUCCUUUACACUUAUGGUUUGCCAAGAUUUAUUAGAGUAAAAUGGUAGAGGAAGAAAAGCAUUGAUUCAGAAGUGGCAGCCACACUGCAAAGUAUGAGUGGAUAUCUUCCUCAACAGGAGACAUAGCAGCUAAGUGUGGAUGAAUGCGGAUGAAUACUGCCUUCGAAUGCGGAUGGCAUGUUGUAGUGUGGAAACUACUAAGGCAUGAGGAUGAAUGAUCAUGAUCUUUGCUGUUAAGUUGUGUUAUGAUGCUUUCUUUUAUACUUUGUACUUACUUUUUUGCUUUGUAGACUUGUGGAUUAGUUGGAAGGACUUAGU